CCUACGGGAGGCAGCAGUGAGGAAUAUUGGUCAAUGGACGAGAGUCUGAACCAGCCAAGUAGCGUGAAGGAUGACUGCCCUAUGGGUUGUAAACUUCUUUUAUAUGGGAAUAAAACGUUCCACGUGUGGGAUUUUGCAUGUACCGUAUGAAUAAGGAUCGGCUAACUCCGUGCCAGCAGCCGCGGUAAUACGGAGGAUCCGAGCGUUAUCCGGAUUUAUUGGGUUUAAAGGGAGCGUAGGGGGGUUGUUAAGUCAGUUGUGAAAGUUUGCGGCUCAACCGUAAAAUUGCAGUUGAAACUGGAAGUCUUGAGUACAGUAGAGGUAGGCGGAAUUCGUGGUGUAGCGGUGAAAUGCAUAGAUAUCACGAAGAACCCCGAUUGCGAAGGCAGCUUACUGGACUGCGACUGACACUGAGGCUCGAAGGUGUGGGUAUCAAACAGGAUUAGAUACCCGGGUAGUC
rnacentral:rRNA from 1 species